UACGUAGGGGGCAAGCGUUAUCCGGAUUUACUGGGUGUAAAGGGGGCGCAGACGGCUUUGCAAGCCAGAUGUGAAAGCCCGGGGCUCAACCCCGGGACUGCAUUUGGAACUGUGUGGCUAGAGUGUCGGAGAGGCAGGCGGAAUUCCUAGUGUAGCGGUGAAAUGCGUAGAUAUUAGGAGGAACACCGGUGGCGAAGGCGGCCUGCUGGACUGCAACUGACGUUGAGGCCCGAAAGCGUGGGGAGCAAACAGG
rnacentral:rRNA from 1 species